ACGCUCGACACCUACGGGAUGCAGCAGUCGGGAAUAUUGCGCAAUGGAGGAAACACUGACGCAGUGACGCCGCGUAUAGGAAGAAGGUUUUCGGAUUGUAAACUAUUGUCGUUAGGGAAGAGAAAGGACAGUACCUAAGGAGGAAGCUCCGGCUAACUACGUGCCGGCAGCUGCGGUAAUCUGAGCGGGCUGGCAAGGC
rnacentral:rRNA from 1 species